rnacentral:rRNA from 1 species
CGGGACGGGUGAGUAAUGUCUGGGAAACUGCCUGAUGGAGGGGGAUAACUACUGGAAACGGUAGCUAAUACCGCAUAACGUCGCAAGACCCAAAAGGGGGACCUCGGGGCCUCUUGCCAUCGGAUGUGCCCAGAUGGGAUUAGCUAGUAGGUGGGGUAACGGCUCACCUAGGCGACGAUCCCUAGCUGGUCUGAGAGGAUGACCAGCCACACUGGAACUGAGACACGGUCCAG